rnacentral:lncRNA from 1 species
UUUUAUUCGGCUAGUGUGGCGUAAGAGAGCUUUAGCUUUUAACUUGUCACACAGUUUAUAGAACACAUGUUUUUCCAUCCGGAAAUUCUCUAGAAAACGCUCGUUAGAACCGUUGAGAACUUCAUCUACAAACUUUGUACCGUUAGCAGAGGUAGGAGUCGAUUCGUUGCCUGUGGAUUUCUCGUUAACAUGAUCCUUUUCGUCAUCGGAGCUCUCCAUGGCGCACAAAAUCCUGCACUACGAUACGAUGAAAGGGGAUAGACAGAAACAGCUAGGGUUUCGGUUACGC